rnacentral:lncRNA from 11 species
CAGGGAUUGACUUUGAAAGGAAUGUGGAGGAGACAGGAGCUCUGCCUAUAACUCAACAAUUACAGUUAUGAAGAGAUAGUGCAAAGCAGAGACAAAUUUGUUGUUCCCAAAGACUGAAACAUAAGCAAAAGGAACCCAGGUUUUGUAUAACUGGUUUUCCUACCAACAAAAUCAUUUUCACAGCUAUUGUUGAUCACCUUCUUUGCCUCGGUCUUCUCACAAAAAGAAAGCCAUCUUCAACCUCAGCAACAUGGAAUGGACGAAGGAUUGGGGGAAAUCCAACCCCAAAUAGGGAAACAAGUUGUCCAGGAACACCUGGCCACUCUAAACGAAUUCAAGUCCCCAGGGCCAGAUCAGCUACAUCCAAGAGUACUGAAGGAACUAGCGGAAGUUAUUUCAGAACCACUGGCAAUUAUCUUCGAGAGUUCUUGGAGAACGGGAGAAGUCCCAGCAGAUUGGAGGAGGGCAAAUGUGGUCCCUAUCUUCAAGAAGGGAAAAAAGAACGACCCAAACAAUUACCGUCCGGUCAGCCUCACAUCAAUACCAGAUAUGCACAGAAAAACAGAGAGAAGAGAAUGAUGGAAUAGGUGCACAAUGUCUUUUGAUAGAUUUUGUCAGGAACCAUCCGUUGGGAAGCACUCCAGAGCCAACAUCUGUGCAUUGCUCCACAAACAUAGUUUUUCACAGCCUCCCGCUGAGCAUUGCUCCACAAACACAGUCUUCUGCUGUCCAGCACUUGUCAAGUCAUAGGAGGAGUCCCUGCUGAGAUCACAUACAAGCAAGGAGGGAAGCUUGUGGAGUCCAACAAACUGCCUAACAAUGUUUAUAUGGGUUGGGGAACUGCUUCUCUUGACAUUCAUCUUCAAUUCAAAUAUUUCCAUUUAUGUACAAGGGCCUGCUUAUAGAAAUCCCUCCUCAGCAUGCAUAGGCAGUGAACUUGUGAUGACAGUUAUUUGUUUUUAGAAAAAUAUAUUUUAGCAUUAAGCCUUGGAUAAUCCAUUUUAAACAAUAUCUGGAAGAAGAGUAAAGUAUGUAUUAAUAAAUAUUUGCCUGCAUCAUCUACUGUCAAACCCCAGAUUUCCUUAGGGGCCCUCACUUCUCUUUAUUUCACCAAAAUUUAUAAUAUAAAUCAGACACUUAACUGAUCCAAUUGUCAUCUUUCUGGCUAACUGCUAAGUGUACAAAAAUUUAGACAUAUUAAUUUAAAACAUCUGCAUUAUUUUGGUUCUGGUUUGCAUAUACAGUGGUGAUUCUGUUUCUUAUUAUACAGCAUUAUGCUCUAGAAUGCAUUCCAUACUGUUCAGGGAAUGUAAUUGCAUUUGUUGAAUUUUUGUGCUUAAGGGAAUUGAAAAUAGUGUUGCAAAGCAAAUUUGUUUUGAAGCCCCCCACUGACUAUUCAUAUGCACAGAAAUAAUUUCAUAUAUGGAAUAUUUGUUAACUUCACUAUACAAAGAAAUAAAAAGAAAGACAAGCAAUACUGGCUUAUCAUUAGGUGGUGUAGAUCUCGCAAUUGUCCUUUUUGAACUAUAACCUCCAGAAUCCCCAGGCAGCAUGCCCAGUGGCCUCCACAUGACAGCCAGCAAUUGGGAUUGUAGAGAUGGGAGGGACAGGGACAAGAAGGGACUAAAAGAACACAACACAUGAAAACAAUAUUAAAGUUGAAAUGGCCACAACUUAAUUUUAUUUAAAAAAUAUUAAUCUUUUAUAAGAUAAAACUACAUAUGUUAUGUAGUUUGUAUGUAUUUUUUUAUAACUAAAAAAAAAGCCCUAAACCACACAGAAGGAGCCUCGGUGGCGAAGUGCAUUAAAGCGCUGAGCUGCUGAACUUGCGGACCAAAAGGUUGCAGGUUCAAACCCCGGGAGCGGCGGGAGCGGCCGCUGUUAGCUCCAGCUCCUGCCAACCUAGCAGUUCGAAAACAUGCAAAUGUGAGUAGAUCAAUAGGGACUGCUCCGGUGGGAAGGUAACGGCGCUCCAUGCAGUCAUGCCGGCCACAUGACCUUGGAGGUGUCUACGGACAACGUCGGCUCUUCGGCUUAGAAAUGGAGAUGAGCAUCAACCCCCAGAGUCAGACAUGUCUGGACUUAAUGUCAGGGGAAACCUUUACCUUUAAGCCACACAGAUUUUUUAAAAUAAAACUCUCUUUCUAGGGAGACUAGACUGGCAGGAACCCUUCUUAAUAUGUUUCCUCAAAUAAGCAAAAGCCCUUUUUAAAAAAUCUAGCAGGUCUUUGAGAACUGAUUUUUUGGAGGGAUAAAAGUCUUGAAAAAUACAUUGGACUUUUAUCUUUUUUGUUGUCAUUGUUGUUUUAAUCAUCUUUAACUGGUGUCAAAUUUCAUGAUAGGAGUAAAAGCUAAUUAACUGUCUUUUGACAUUUGUAUGCUAUUAAUUUUUAACAGUGUUCACUUUAACUGUUGUAAGUCUUGAUUCUCAGACUGGAAAUAGUUGAGAUAAUAAUAAUAGUAAUACAGUAGAGUCUCACUUAUCCAACAUAAACGGGCCGGCAGAACGUUGGAUAAGUGAAUAUGUUGGAUAAUAAGGAGAGAUUAAGAAAAAGCCUAUUAAACAUCAAAUUAGGUUAUGAUUUUACAAAUUAAGCACCAAAACAUCAUGUUAUACAACAAAUUUGACAGAAAAAGUAGUUCAAUACGCAGUAAUACUAUGUAGUAAUUACUGUAUUUACAAAUUUAGCACCAAAAUAUCACGAUAUAUUGAAAACAUUGACUACAAAAAUGCGUUGGAUAAUCCAGAACGUUGGAUAAGUGAGACUCUACUGUAAUAACAAUAUUGAUGACAAUGCCCGAGAUUUCCUGCUCCUAUUUUCCAACAUCUAACAGCGCAUAGUUCCAUGGCUUCUGAUAUAUACAGCGCUGUUAGAUGUCAGGCAGGGAUGGAAAGAAUAUUUAUUAUUAUUUGUUCACAGUGGAAAAACUAUCAGGAAACCACACUGGGAAUAAUAAUAAUAAUCUUGGGAAAUUUUCUCCCAGCAGUGCAAGAUCCUGAAGUAUUGUGGGAGAAUAAUUCUAGCACAUAGCAAACCAUUAAUUACACCAACCAAAUAGGUAUACACAACCAGCACCAAUGUAUUUCAGACUUUUGUCUUUACAUUCAUGUAAUACUUCUGUUUUCAUGUAACAUAUGAAUGACAUUCUUUUCAUGUUUGAAUAAGAAACAGGAACAAGAUUAUUUUCUUAUUUGAAUAAGAAAUAGGGAUGAGAUUAUUACUAAACAUUCUAAGAGAAAAGCACCUUCCCCAAUCUGAGCAGUCUAUUUGCAGUCUAUGCCAAAUUAAAUAUUUUAUUUCUGUUUUAAGAUGGUUCUGAGGUGUGUCCAGUUGCUUUUACCACAAUAAAACUCCCGCGAUUUGCUCUAAAUACACAAGUACAGGCCAAACUACUCUGACUUCAGUGUUCAUUGUUUGUUCAAGAGGUUUUGCAGUUGUAAUCCUACAGCAGGGAUUCCCAAACUUUGCCAUGAACUGUUUCAGAGGGUAGCUCCCUCUUUUUUUUCUGUUUGCAAGAUGGGAAAAGAUCCAUCACAUCCUGCAAUGCAACUUGACAUUCCAAUCAAAAAUUGUCUCAGGUUUCAUUUGGCUGGGGUUCGCCAUAAGAAUCCCACCGUUACCCUUGUCCUUUUUAAGCUUCACAUCACCUUACAAGAUUGUUUUCCACUUCCUGCACCAAAGAUGAGGCUCCAUCCUAUUGGCUUUCAGUGUCCAACUUGCUUUUCAAGUGCGUAACUAUGGCAAUUCUUGAAAACCUAAUUACAAUAUUUUUAAAUUAUUUAUUUUAGAUUAUAAUACCUUCUGCAAAGAAUUAAUGCUGUGAAGUAAAGGAAUGCUGACCUAAAGGGAAUUUUAAGGGAAUUUUAAUAUGACAUUUGAAUUCACUUAAAAGUUAGGUUUUUGGACUACAACUUCCAGAAAAUUGGAAAAAAAACGGACAGAUUUCUAGAUCAAAAGCUAG